CUCGUAGGUGGUUUCUUAAGUCUGAUGUGAAAGCCCACGGCUCAACCGUGGAGGGUCAUUGGAAACUGGGAGACUUGAGUGCAGAAGAGGAUAGUGGAAUUCCAAGUGUAGCGGUGAAAUGCGUAGAGAUUUGGAGGAACACCAGUGGCGAAGGCGACUGUCUGGUCUGUAACUGACACUGAGGCGCGAAAGCGUGGGGAGCAAACA
rnacentral:rRNA from 1 species